rnacentral:lncRNA from 1 species
CAUUCACAACAUCCAACCUGGUUUCUUGGUGUAAAGAAAUGAUCUGUGUCUUGGUGGAGCAUGGCCCAGUGUUUGAAGUGCACAUGGAACUGGGAAUAUGACUAGGGACAUUUCUGAAAGAUAUAAUCUGCCAGCCAGAAGCAGUGGGAGAGUCAAACCUGACAGGCGCUGUGAAAAGGCUGGAGUUUUCAGCAUGCUAGGAGAGUGGCAGUGUCAGAGGUAAGUCACUGUGAACUGUGUCAUUUAUUUCU